UCUCAGAACUGCUUCCAACUAACUUGUGGGCAUUGGUUAAUUUUUUUUUUUGGGGGGGGGGGACUUUUCUUGAUGUAGCCAGACAUUCUGAGGAAGCUGAUUGUCUUCGCUGCUGUUUUGAGCCCUGUGGAAUCGUCCAGCACUGCUUGGACCUGACAACUUGGACCUGCCAAGCUGAAGUGGAUCUGACCUGUCAGAAUGUGUGUCCUUGUAAAAACAAUGAGCAGCAAAGGAGAGAAGAACCAUGGAGAACAGCACUGCCUGAACCCGUGGCUCUUACAAUGGUCCUCCCGCAAACUGGGGCCUCUGGCACCCGAGCAUGGGCUGCCGGGGUGUGAAGAAACGGACCACAGCUCCUGUCCCUGCAGUACUUUCACAUCUCAAGUUGUCACUCAACCUGGUAUCAUUAGCUUCUUAUUGUGUUAGGAAUUAUACAUAAAAAUCAAGCCAGGCACCAUGGCUCAUCCCUGUAAUCCCAGAACUUGAGGGGCAGAGGCAGAAGGGUCUCUGUGAGUUCAAAGCCAGCCUGGUCUAUAUAAUGAGUUCCAGGCCAGUC